UACAGAGGGUGCGAGCGUUGUCCGGAAUCACUGGGCGUAAAGGGCGCGUAGGCGGCCUGAUAAGUCGGGGGUGAAAUCCUGUGGCUUAACUGCAGGGCUGCCUCCUAGACUGUUAGGCUCGAGCACGGUAGAGGCAGAUGGAAUUCCCGGUGUAGCGGUGGAAUGCGUAGAGAUCGGGAAGAACAUCGGUGGCGAAGGCGGUCUGCUGGGCCAAGACUGACGCUGAGGCGCGACAGCGUGGGGAGCAAACAGG
rnacentral:rRNA from 1 species